rnacentral:rRNA from 1 species
UACGUAGGGUCCGAGCGUUGUCCGGAAUUACUGGGCGUAAAGAGCUCGUAGGUGGUUUGUCGCGUUGUUCGUGAAAACUCACAGCUCAACUGUGGGCGUGCGGGCGAUACGGGCAGACUAGAGUACUGCAGGGGAGACUGGAAUUCCUGGUGUAGCGGUGGAAUGCGCAGAUAUCAGGAGGAACACCGGUGGCGAAGGCGGGUCUCUGGGCAGUAACUGACGCUGAGGAGCGAAAGCGUGGGGAGCGAACAGG